AACGAACGCUGGCGGCAUGCCUAACACAUGCAAGUCGAACGAGACCUUCGGGCCUAGUGGCGCAUGGGUGCGUAACGCGUGGGAACCUGCCCUUAGGUUCGGAAUAACUCCCCGAAAGGGGUGCUAAUACCGGCUCAUGUCCCCGGACCAAAGAUUUAUCGCCUUUGGAUGGGCCUGCGUUGGAUUAGCUAGUUGGUAGGGUAAAAGCCUACCAAGGCGACGAUCCAUAGCUGGUCUGAGAGGAUGAGCAGCGACACUGGGACUGAGACACGGCCCAGACUCCUACGGGAGGCAGCAGUGGGGAAUAUUGGACAGUGGGCGAAAGCCUGAUCCAGCAAGGCCGCGUGAGUGAUGAAGGCCUUAGGGUAGUGAAGCUCUUUUACCCGGGAUGAUAAUGACAGUACCGGGAGAAUAAGCUCCGGCUAACUUCGUG
rnacentral:rRNA from 1 species